UACGUAGGGGGCUAGCGUUGCUCGGAAUCACUGGGCGUAAAGCGCACGUAGGCGGAUCUUUAAGUCAGGGGUGAAAUCCUGGAGCUCAACUCCAGAACUGCCUUUGAUACUGGGGAUCUCGAGUCCGGGAGAGGUGAGUGGAACUGCGAGUGUAGAGGUGAAAUUCGUAGAUAUUCGCAAGAACACCAGUGGCGAAGGCGGCUCACUGGCCCGGUACUGACGCUGAGGUGCGAAAGCGUGGGGAGCAAACAGG
rnacentral:rRNA from 1 species